rnacentral:tRNA from 1 species
GUCUCCAUAACUCAGUGGUUAGAGCACUGGUCUUGUAAACCAGGAGUUUUGAGUUAAAUCUUUACUGGGGCUU